UCUAACUCAUCAACUUUAAGGAGAAAAUGAUUUCUCACUCCCUAAUAUAUCCCACCCGCUAACAGGUGCCAUGAUGAAGAGAUAAUCAGUGUUAUUCACUUCACCUGUCAGCCACAUAAUGUUAUGCCUGGUUGGUGUAUAACUAUUUGUGUCACUUGUACCGACACAUAGACAAUCAGGUACAUUAUGUUUGUCUGUAACUCUAACUUGGAUGAACAUCAGACCAGAUUAUCAGUACCCAUGAAAAUACCAUGUGGAUACAGUGCAGCCUAUCACAAGAGGGAGACAGUUGCCGUGCUUGUGGAGUCACUGGAGGAGCUGUCCAUUUCAGCACCACGAUGAGGCAGCAGAAGCCACAGAUGUUCCUAUUGAAACGUUCCAUAUUUAGAGAAAAGGCUAGAAGGUGGAGGUCACAUCACAGCAGCACUUCUGCAGUAACUGGAGGCUUUUGGUUCUGCAAGGACACGGACUUGGAUUAAAAACAAUAAAAACACACAAAUAUACGCUGCCUGAUGAAAUAGAGCCACUGUGAUGCGACUCAACCACGGGUGUCAAACAUGAGGUCCGGGGACCAGAAUUAGCAUGGCAAAGACUUCAAUGGACGCCCACUGGAUGGCUUUAGAAAACGUGAAGGAGAGCAUGCAUUUUUUCAAUUUAUUUUAACACAUUUUUACAAUAUGGCUGAAAAAAAGAAAAAAAAAGAACAGUAACAAUUUUUUUUUAAAGGACAUUUUCUGUGAAUUAACAGAAAGCUGUAUCUGACCCCGAGUGUAUGCUAAAAAAACACACUGCUACAGACUGCUUUUGUAAUUCAUUGUCAUUUGUUACUUUAACAGUGUCCUUGCUAUCAGUGAAGUCAAAGACUUUACAUAUUUGGGGGAUUUCAGCCAAAACGGAAAGAAAUCUUACUUCAGUAAUAAGUUAUUUCAAACUGACAUCACUCUGCCGGCGUGACAUGGACAUGCAUGCAGAAGUUGCAGUAACAGCAUGAGAUAUUUUAUUUAAAACCAACAUGAAAAUAAUCACGCGGAAAGAUUUAAACAGACACGAUGAACACGUAAUUACAUAUAAAUACAUAUUAGCCACCUAGCUUAAUCGUUUAUAGCGAUUAAGGAUCCUGGGAUGUACUUUGUCUGUUUUUUUGCUCACAACCGAACUCUUAGCUUUAAAUAUCUCCCCCUGCUGGUAACUUGGCUUCUACAUGCGUGUCUAGUUCACGCUUUAUUUUUUGGUAUCUGGGAAGAAACUGUCUGCUUCUCCAGAUUGCGCAUUAUUAUUAUUAUUAUUAUUAAUAUUAUUGUUAUUAUUAUUAUCAUUAUUAUUAUUAUUAUUAUUAUUAUUAUGAUUAUUAUUAUUAUGUUGCUUCAUUAAAUUUACAACUUACAACUCAAAUAUGUUUCAUUAUUACCACACCUGACUAUAUCUACUUUUUAAAAUCUACUUUUUAUCGUUUUAGCCUACACCAGCUAAUUUUUCUGACCUUUGUUUUAAACUCAUGCUCCUUAGCACACUUUCAGUGUCAUGU